GAAAUGGACUGAAUUAACUGAAAAUGAUCUGUCUUUAAAACUUUUUAACGGAAAAUAUUUGUAGCUUUUUCAUUAUAAAUAUAUGACCAUAUCGUGUUUUUCGUAGAUUUUCGUCUUCAGCGGACAAGUUGUAGCAACGUCUCCUCAGUGACAGAGACAACCAUUGAGGUUUCACAUGUAAUGCGAUCCAGGGUUACUCUCAUCAGUAUUCUUGAAGUUGGAUGACGCUUUGAGAAAAGAAUUUUGCCCAGAAAAAGUUACCAUACACAUCUCAAAUUCAAAUCACCAGUAAUAUUAAAAGUUAACUCCUUUUUUUACUAUUUUCUUUUAUACCAAGGGCUACUCUUGAUUAAUUUAUGCAUUAGGAACUUUUUUUUUGUCGUUUUAGUUAAUAUAAUCCUACAAGUUGCAAAUUGGGCGGGCUGCGUACUGGGUCAAAACAGAUUUGGAAAUGACUUUUGUUGUUUGAGAUUUAGUUAAGCAAUCGUUUUGUUCAUACUUUAAGAAUGUAGUAUCUUUUUCCACUUUGAAAAUAAAAAGAGUAAAGGAGUGAAAGUUGAUCUAAAUGUUAGUUAGAGAAAGCUUGAAUUGCUCAAUUUUAAUAAACUGAUAAAUUUAUUUUGGUUUUUAUUUGAACCUAUAACAAUAGAGUUUGAAAAACAAUGAACUAAUUGCAAAGUAGAUGGAUAGAAGGAUAAGGCUCAAGAAAAUGAAUAUGUUCGUGAGCAAAAUACACCAGUUUAUCUAGACGAUUAUGGCAGAGUUGAUGAAUUGGUUGAACCUGGUACUAAAUAUCUAAAUGAGGUUCACUCCUUUACUCCUUUUACUUUCAUAUGUCAUGCUCUUUGCUAUUUUAGAUAAUAUAUAUGGUAUAUAUGUUUGUCUGCAGGCAUAUGAACAACGUUAGAAUUGAAAUGUCAUCUUGACCACAUUCUUAGAUAUCCUUAUGGAAGCUUUUUUUAUUUUUCUCUAUUAUAAUUCUUUUGAUUUUGGCGGGUUGGGUUGAGUAACGGGUCAAAAUGAGUUCGUAUCAUAAUAGGCUAACUAAUAAUUGUUUCAAUUUGGUUCGGGUAAAAAGGUUCGGGUCAAAAUGGGUCUGGUUCAAUAUAAGUUCGAUUCUAAACAAGUUGAUUAAAAAAAUGACCAUAUUUAAUAACCAUAAACUGUGAGAAAUUUAACCACAGAUUGUCACAAAAGUCUAUUUCGUACAAAUUGAGUUGGGUUGACUCAAAACGUUGUCCUUCAAGAAUCUUUAAUAGAUAGACAGUUUUGAUUAAAUGAUUAAGUUUGUAUUCUAUAAAACUACACUUUAGUAUGUUAUGACCUGUUUCGUUUUCAAUUAAACUCUGACUUUUUACCAUUGACUUGAUAAGGAUAAAGAGUCCAAUGUCGAUAUCCCAAAUUUCCGAUUUCUUAUAUCAUUUGAUUAUACUUAUUAUUCUGAAAUUUAUGUCAAUCAAUCAUAUGCAGAUUUUGAGAGACUUAGGGGUUAGGACAAUGAAGUUGAUGACAAACAACCCUGCUAAGUAUAGUGGGCUCAAGGGCUUGAUUGACUCACAUUCUUUACUUACCCUCAUAAGCUUUUUUUAACUGAUAUUUAUAUAAUACUUUUUUAUUGGAUGGCAUAUGAUGUUUAUGACCAUUUUGGUGAUAAUUUUGAUACGAUAAUGGAUGUUAUAACAUAAAUAUUCAACGAGAAAAAAAAAUAAUUGAUGUAAGUUUACAAAACU